UACGGGGGGGGUAAGCGUUGUUCGGAAUUACUGGGCGUAAAGGGCUCGUAGGCGGCCAACUAAGUCAGACGUGAAAUCCCUCAGCUUAACUGGGGAACUGCGUCUGAUACUGGAUGGCUUGGAUUCGGGAGAGGAAUGCGGAAUUCCAGGUGUAGCGGUGAAAUGCGUAGAUAUCUGGAGGAACACCGGUGGCGAAGGCGGCAUUCUGGACCGAUAUUGACGCUGAGGAGCGAAAGCCAGGGGAGCAGACGGG
rnacentral:rRNA from 1 species